CUACAAUAUGUGGCAGCCUAGAACACCUAUGAGCUCCUUGUCUCCCCGGUCCUGCUCUCUUUCUUCUUUUGUCCCACCUCAGGGUUGGGAUUUCUAGUCCUUUCACUGAUCCAUGAACUGAGCACUUACUCUGUGCUGGAACUACAUUAGAGACUAAAGACAACAAGGCCCAGUCCCUUCCCUCCAAAAGUUCAGGUGGGACGAGGUUCUUCUAAACGUGCACGGCCUCCAGUGGUCCCCACAGUCCAUCAGGAGGCCAGAAGGCAGUCUGGAAGUUUCUAAGAAAAAAAUAUAUGCCGGGUGUUGUGGUACACAUCUGUAAUCUCAGCACUUGGGAGGCCGAGGCAGGAGUUCCAGGACAGCCUGGGCCACGUAGUGAGUUAAAGAACAGCCUGAACUACAUAGUGGACACUGUCUCAAAAAAAGAGAGAGAGAGAUCUGAAAAUUUUCUUUGUUGAUGUUUUACAAAUUUUAAUAAUGAUUAAGGAUUAUCUACAUUCUUACUCUUUUACCUCUGGAAAAUAAAAAACAGGUUCCCACCACUAGAAAAGUACUGAUUGCCCAAAAACCCUGGUGACAAGCAGCCAUCAGAAACCACUCAACUAAGCAAGGACAAGGACUUCAGUUAUCAAAGUUCAUGGUCAAAGAUGUCGGUCACCAACAGCCCAAAGCACAUGCCUCUGAGUGCCGACUGCCAAGACAGCCCACGGCAGCAACAGGCUGGAUAGAGACUGUGCGUGACCAGUCCAGUUCUCCCUUCCUACAAGAAGCAAUAAAUUGAACUCUCUUUUCCUUCAGGUACUGGGAUAAGGGAACAGCUCUGCCAUGGCAUCCUAAUAGGCAGGCCAUCUCCAACAAGAGCAAAAAGGCCAGACACAAUAGCUCUGAAUGGUCUGGAAUUCCUCGGAAGCAGGGGCAGAUAAUAAGCAUGGCAUGGAGAUGUCCUGAAAUACUGUCUCAUCCCUACCUUGCAGGAGUCUGGCAUGAGCCAUUUCUCAUCCAUCUCCCUGGUUUCAGUUGCAGGCACAACUUUCUGCCUUGUGGUCCCACCUUAAGGUACAGCUGCAAGCUUCUGUGCAAAUCUAUAAAACUGCAGUUCCUUGAACUUGGCUCCUCAACCAGGCAGAGGCCAGGAUGAGGCAAGUGCAGCACCUGGUGACCAUUUUCUCUUGAGGUGUUUCAGUGCUGACCCUGUCUUGCUCCUCAAUCCUGACAUCUGCCAGUGGUCCCUCUUGUAGGUAUCACACUGUAGGAUUAGGGACAUGGGGGCAAUAGCAUGCUGAUUUUUCCUUUGCUGUGUACAUAAUAA
rnacentral:lncRNA from 1 species